rnacentral:rRNA from 1 species
GACGAACGCUGGCGGCGUGCUUAACACAUGCAAGUCGAACGGAAAGGCCCUGCUUUUGUGGGGUGCUCGAGUGGCGAACGGGUGAGUAACACGUGAGUAACCUGCCCUUGACUUUGGGAUAACUUCAGGAAACUGGGGCUAAUACCGGAUAGGAGCUCCUGCUGCAUGGUGGGGGUUGGAAAGUUUCGGCGGUUGGGGAUGGACUCGCGGCUUAUCAGCUUGUUGGUGGGGUAGUGGCUUACCAAGGCUUUGACGGGUAGCCGGCCUGAGAGGGUGACCGGCCACAUGGGGACUGAGGUACGGCCCAGACUCCUACGGGAGGCAGCAGUGGGGAAUAUUGCACAAUGGGGGGAAGCCUGAGGCAGCAACGCCGCGUGCGGGAUGACGGCCUUCGGGUGGUGAACCGCUUUCGCCUGUGACGAAGCGUGAGUGACGGUAAUGGGUAAAGAAGCACCGGCUAACUACGUG